rnacentral:rRNA from 1 species
UACGUAGGGUGCGAGCGUUAAUCGGAAUUACUGGGCGUAAAGCGUGCGCAGGCGGCUUUGCAAGACAGGUGUGAAAUCCCCGGGCUUAACCUGGGAACUGCAUUUGUGACUGCAUGGCUGGAGUGCGGCAGAGGGGGAUGGAAUUCCGCGUGUAGCAGUGAAAUGCGUAGAGAUGUGGAGGAACACCGAUGGCGAAGGCAGCCCCCUGGGGUAACACUGACGCUCAUGCACGAAAGCGUGGGGAGCAAACAGG